UAAUACGGAGGGUGCAAGCGUUAAUCGGAAUUACUGGGCGUAAAGCGUGCGUAGGUGGUAUGUUAAGUUAGAUGUGAAAGCCCUGGGCUCAACCUAGGAGCUGCAUUUAAAACUGGCAAACUAGAGUAUAGGAGAGGAAAGUGGAAUUUCAGGUGUAGCGGUGAAAUGCGUAGAUAUCUGAAGGAACAUCAAUGGCGAAGGCAGCUUUCUGGACUAAUACUGACACUGAGGUACGAAAGCGUGGGUAGCAAACAGGAUUAGAUACCCUGGUAGUCCACGCCGUAAACGAUGACAACUAGCCGUUGGGAGGAUUUACCUCUUAGUGGCGAAGCUAACGCGUUAAGUUGUCCGCCUGGGGAGUACGGCCGCAAGGUUA
rnacentral:rRNA from 1 species